UUCGGACCAGCAACGUGAAAACAAAUUGAGCAACAUACAACAUUCACCUGCUCCAUACAUUCUACAUAUUCAUUCUAAUAUAAUCAUCAUAUUCAUCAUCUACAUUCUACACCAUUCAUCUACUCUAAUCAGCCAUUUUCUACACAUUCAUCUACAUCAUCCACAUCCUAAACACAUUCCCAUCCACAUUCUAAACCAUCAUCCUAAACACAUUCAUCUUCACCGUCCACAUCCUAAACAUUCAUCUACACCAUCCACAUCCUAAACAUUCAUCUAAUCUAAUCAUCCACAUUCAUCUACACCAUCCUAAACAUUCAUCUACACCUUCCUAAACAUUCACCUAAUCUAAUCAUCAACAUUCAUCUAAUCUAAUCAUCCACAUCACAUCCUAAACAUUCAUCUAAUCUAAUCAUCCACACCCUAAACAUUCACUACACAUACAGCUUUUACCAGCCGUCAUAACUACACAUACAUUUUACCAUCACAUAUAUAGCUUACAAGCAAGCAUUUAUCAUUCAUCCUACAAAGUAAGGCACAUUCCCAAGAUUCUCUGUUCCUUCACAUCCGAUCUUUUUUUUUUCCGUCUGUAGUUUCUCUCAAAAGGACAUGCACUUGUUAACUCACUCUUUUUGAAUAUGUGUUCAUCUGCAAAACGAGAUCAAAUCAUUACAAUCCCUUCAGAAUUAUUUUUUUUUACAAAAAUUAAAAUCAUGCAAGUAUCACAUUUAAUCAAAUAAUCAAAUAAUAUAUUCUUAUGUCGAUUAAAAAAAAACACAUUUCAGAUUAUUACAAAAGUAACGCCUUUCCUUAAUUCUUUUUUUUUUUUUUUUUUGACAACAAUUUAAUUCUUUUUUUUUCUUUUCAAAAAAAAAAUAUUAAGAUAACAGGAAAAGGAAUGAUAAUUUUUGUUUCUAUGUUCAUUUAAUAAUCAUUUAUAUGGUCUUCUAAAUUCAUUUUCGUAGGAAGAAACAGAGUAUGAUUAAAAUGAAAUGCGACAUAGAAAAAUAAAUGAUAGUUUGCUUUCUUUUUAAAGGCAAAAUUUUAAGAGUAAUCUAUUGAAAUCAUCGAACCAUGAGAGCUUCACUAAAACAUUUUUUAAAAAGUUGAGAUUUAGAUUUUAUUUUGUUAACUUCCUUACACUACCAUUCCAUAUCUAUAACUCAAAAUGUAUUUUUUUCUUUCUUAAACUAAGCAUAAAAAAUUGCAAGAUGUGGGAAACUAAAAUACAAAAGAAGUAAAAGGACCAAAGGCGUGGUGUUACCUUGUAGGGGUGAUGAGUCUUUAAGUCUCUAUGCUCAGGGAAUGAGAAGAUCAGAGACAAGGCUUGAGUUGUAGAAGACGUAUGUAUAUCAAAAGAGAUCAGAGACAAGGCUUGAGUUGUAGAAGAACGUAUAUCAAAAGAAUAUAAAACAGAGACUAUUACUGGAGUAUUUGAGAAAUGAAAUUUGAGAGUAAGAAAGGAGAGAAGUUUUUGAUGUCUGAACGAAGGA
rnacentral:lncRNA from 1 species